AUGAUACUCACUCCGUCCAAUAAAGAAUGUGUUAACUUUGACUAAAUUUGAAUGCAUCUAUACACUAAGUGAUGUCUUGAUACAUCCAAAUUUUGACAAACUUAAAACAUUUUUUGUUAAACGGAGGGAGUACAAC
rfam:Brachypodium distachyon strain Bd21 chromosome 4, whole genome shotgun sequence.